GCAACUUAUCCUCUGGACAGGUUUUGAUAAAUCUCCCCCUAUGUACCUGUACCCUAUGUGUCCAGAAGAUCUUCACUGUCCAUGCAAGAGUUCUGGACCACAACGAAAAUCCCCUAAAGCUCACCAAUGACUAUUCUGGAGGAAAUCCUUUAAGAAUGAUGGAGAUGACUUGUCACGGGCAAAAUAGAGUGUGACACAUAGCUGGAACAGCAGACUCAGGAAGCAUCAGUUAUGGAAAAAUGAAAGGUGUCAUUACAAAGUAUUCUUGUCCCCGCAAAAAACAAGCCUCAUAUGUGUCUGCAGAUGGAAAAAUAAGAGUUAUGGCUAUUAUAGGACGAAGAGGAAAAAAC